rnacentral:rRNA from 1 species
GACGAACGCUGGCGGCGUGCUUAACACAUGCAAGUCGAACGGAAAGGCCCUGCUUUUGUGGGGUGCUCGAGUGGCGAACGGGUGAGUAACACGUGAGUAACCUGCCCUUGACUUUGGGAUAACUUCAGGAAACUGGGGCUAAUACCGGAUAGGAGCUCCUGCUGCAUGGUGGGGGUUGGAAAGUUUCGGCGGUUGGGGAUGGACUCGCGGCUUAUCAGCUUGUUGGUGGGGUAGUGGCUUACCAAGGCUUUGACGGGUAGCCGGCCUGAGAGGGUGACCGGCCACAUUGGGACUGAGAUACGGCACAGACUCCUACGGGAGGCAGCAGUGGGGAAUAGUGCACAAUGGGCGGAAGCCUGAUGCAGCAACGCCGCGUGCGGGAUGACGGCCUGCGGGUUGUAAACCGCAUUCGCCUGUGACGAAGAGUGAGUGACGGUAAUGGGUAAAGAAGCACCGGCUAACUACGUG